rnacentral:snRNA from 1 species
GUGCUCACUUCAGCAGCACAUGCACUAAAAUAGGAAUGAUACAGAGAAGAUUAGCAUGGCCCCUGUGCAAGGAUAGCACAGGAAUUCCUGAAGCUUUCCAUAUUUUC